AACAAACGCUGGCGGCGUGCCUAACACAUGCAAGUCGUACGAGAAAGGGUCCUUCGGGGCCUGAGUAAGGUGGCGCACGGGUGAGUAACGCGUGGAUAAUCUGCCCUUCAGUUGGGAAUAACUCAUCGAAAGGUGGGCUAAUACCGAAUAAUGCUGUGAGACCUCGGUUGAUCAGCCAAAGAGAGCCUCUGCUUGCAAGCCCUCGCUGAAGGAUGAGUCCGCGUACCAUUAGCUAGUUGGUAGGGUAAUGGCCUACCAAGGCGACGAUGGUUAGCUGGUCUGGGAGGAUGAUCAGCCACACUGGAACUGAGACACGGUCCAGACUCCGACGGGAGGCAGCAGUGAGGAAUCUUGCGCAAUGGGGGCAACCCUGACGCAGCAACGCCGCGUGAGUGGGGAAGGUCUUCGGAUCGUAAAGCUCUGUCGGAUGGAAAGAACCGCAUAGGGGUAAACAGCCCCUGUGUCUGACGGUACCAUCAAAGGAAGCACCGGCUAACUCCGUGCCAGCCGCCGCCGUAAAAC
rnacentral:rRNA from 1 species